AUUGGAGGACUUUGGGGGAGC
rnacentral:miRNA from 1 species